UUUUGCAGAAGAGGAGCACUACCCAGGUAGGUAAAUUGUGGAGCCGCAACUCCAAGACAAUUUACUAAGGGGGAGUAGUGCCGAGGUAGGUCAAGAUUGUGGUUUUGAUCUGUCGGUUGACUUGGGUUGAAUCCCAUCAACUGUCAUCAGCGCUGACUGAUGAUGAGCUUCUGAGGUA
rnacentral:ncRNA from 2 species